AAUGAACGCUGGCGGCAUGCCUAACACAUGCAAGUCGAACGAAGCCUUCGGGCUUAGUGGCGCACGGGUGCGUAACGCGUGGGAAUCUGCCCUUAGGUUCGGAAUAACAGUUGGAAACGACUGCUAAUACCGGAUGAUGACGUAAGUCCAAAGAUUUAUCGCCUAGGGAUGAGCCCGCGUAGGAUUAGCUAGUUGGUGUGGUAAAGGCGCACCAAGGCGACGAUCCUUAGCGGUCUGAGAGGAUGAUCAGCCACACUGGGACUGAGACACGGCCCAGACUCCUACGGGAGGCAGCAGUGGGGAAGUAUUGGACAAUGGGCGGAAAAGCCUGAUCCAGCAAUGCCGCGUGAGUGAUGAAGGCCUUAGGGUU
rnacentral:rRNA from 1 species